UCAAAGGGAAACUCAAUUACUUUGUUUGGUCUUUUAAAGAAAAUUGGAUUUUUGGAAAUCUAAAUUUAUGUUGGUAUAUUUUUUUCGCUCUUUUCCUCAAAUCUGCUUCUAUUACGAGAUGCAAGCUCUUCAAUUGAAAAUUCAGAGGAAAGGAUACACGAAAUUGAAAUCAACCAAUUCAGCAGGAAAACAUGGAGAUAUACAUGAUAGAAUUUCCACUGCAAGAUUUUUGUAUCUGUUCUUCUAGCAGCAGGUGUCCUCAAUAUAAUGUGGGCAUGUGUGUAUACAUUCAGCAUGGAAGUGGUAUAAAACUCACAGCCCUUUUUUAUUUACACUUGAUACACGAUGUAUAUAGCCUCUAUUAAAAAGAUUAUUACAGUUCAAGCCUGGUGUUAAAAGCACUGCAGAACAAGAAUAAUGCAUAAAGCAAACACUGGUGCAGCCAAAAGACUCAGUGUUUGAAUCUCAGAUGAGAUAAUGCCUAAAACUAGAGCCAGAGAGAGCCACCAAGUCCCCAACACACACAAGGGAAACAAAAUGGACAAUCAUUGAGGCUUGAACCUCCAAUGUAGAAGGGACAUAUGUGUCCCACAAAUGACAUUUUUGCAACAAGGUGGAGCAUGAAACAGUGUUUAAAAUGUACUGAGAGGCUGGAUCUGGUCAUCCACAUGGUCAGUUUUCUCCUUGCGAUAAUUGACUCACUCUCAAAUGUAUUUUAAGAAGAAACCUUUUGAACAACGGCUCAAUUCCUUGUGUGCCCGAAGUGCUUAACCCUUUCAAAGCCAAUACAGUUCAAUGGUAAAUGAAUUCUCUUCACAGCAGGCAUCUCAAGGUGAUUUAGGUGGGCUAAUGGGCCGUGGAUGUGCAUUGAUCAGUCUUGGCAUGGCUCCCUGCUGUAUGCUAAGCGUGUGAUUUCAGGCAUCGCUGCUCCCUGAGUGGAGAGGAUCUGAAAAGACAAUGGAUGAAGCCAGACCUGAAGCUGAGCCCCACAAUCUACCAUGCUAAGGGCUUUCUCUACUACUUCAACAGUAUUGGGAGGACUCCUCUGGUAUUCUGUGAUUAUCACGGACACUCGCGGAAGAAGAAUGACUUCUUGUAUGGCUCCAGCAUCAGGGAGGCCUUAUGGCAGUCUGGCUCCACUGUCAACACUGUGGCACUGAAGGAGGACCCUGGAUACCGGGCAGGAUCCUCCUCAUGUUUAGUGUACCAGUCCUGAUCUGUGUGGUGCACAGAGGCCCUUCCAAUCCACCAAUCUGGACCGAGACAUGCUCUAUUACUAGACUCUUCCCAAAAUCCUGUACAAGAUAGCGCCAGCAUUUGCCUUCCAGAGCUGCAGUUUCCUGGUGGAGAAGUCUCAGGCAUCGACGGCGCGGGUGGGUGUGUGGAGAGAGAUGGGGGUGGUGAGGAGCUACACCAUGGAGAGCACCUACUGCGGCUGUGACCAGGGGCUCUACAAGGGUCUGCAGAUUGGAACUCAAGAGCUGGGCUCCUAGUGUGCCAGUGUCUUCUAGCUCUAAAGAGGAAUUCUCUGCUCUACAGCAAGCUAAUCAUCCCUGCGUCUGCACUCGGAGAACUCAGUGACAACCGCCUGGAUCACAAGUCCAACAGGAUAACAAGUGCUGAGGUUUCAGUGUCUGGAUGUCUCCUGCCUGCAUUGGAGUGGCAUUUUGAUCCGUCUCCCUGACAGCUGACACGGCUGCUGUCAACAGAUGAAUAUCAGUUCCCCUGAAACUCUUCCCCCUCCAGGAUGUUGGCUGUGUGUAAUCUGCAGACCCCCAGCACCUCCGUACUCUUCUAUCAAAGCCCAGGAUUUUCUGCAGUGAAGUGCUUUCUUUUUCACCUUUGCCAUUCUUUCAAUAUCUCUGCUUGCUUUUUUACUUCCUUGCACAGAAAAAAACAAAUCUAUAUAGCCAAAGAUAUUAAUCAAAAUUCAUUCAAAAAUGAAGAGCGUCUCUUUUAUUACUUCAAUUUCAUAGAAGCAUAUGGUACAAUCAAAUCUCUCUUCUGAAGGGGAAGAAUAUAUCUGUUAAAUCGAAUAUAAAUUCAUGUGAAAAAAAUGAGGUAACGCAUUGAACCAAACAGAUAUAAAGGUUAAUAAUGAGUAUCAGUAAUCUAAAUGUAAUUAUGUCUGAAUUCCUAUUGAAUUUAUAUUGAAGUAAAUAUUUUACCGUAGCAUAUUUUCUCAUGAAAAUGCAAAUAAUGUAACAAUUGCAAACCGUGUUCACUGAUAUCUUUCCACUGUCCGCAUUUCACUUAAUUGGCAGGACAGAAGGAAACAUUAGAGGGUAGCCAUUAAGGGUAUAUUGUAAUUGGAAUGUCACUAUAUGCCAGUGGUCACAAAGUAACCAGUGCCAAGUACCACAAAGAACUGCUUUGUAUUUGCAGUGCGAGGAUCUGUUUGUAGGGUCAGGAUCCCGUUGGGAAAGUGCAUGCAGGCUUGAAGAGCUGUCUAGUUAUUUUUAAAGGAAUGGCUUUUGAUUUGCCGUCUUCUCUAGAUGUUUCAAUGGUAACACUUUACCUAGUAGCUGCAUAGUAAAUUCAUGUGUACUUACACAUCAUUAGAGUGUUUUUAUGCAGUUAUAAUGUACUUAACAUGUACAUCUUUUUGCAUGAUCUAUGCAAGGACACAAUUGUAUCAAAAGGGUUAGGUUUAGAGUUAGAGUUAACUUAGGGGGGUUAAUUUUAGAGUUAGG